GCAGACACAUUCCAGCCAAUCAGCAGCAGACCCUCCCUCCCAGAUCCUCCCACCUCCUGGACAGCAUCCAUUUUACAUUCAUUGUGAAGCUGCAUUCUUACUGAGCUGUCCAGGAGGUGGGAGGGUCUGGGAGGGAGGGUCUGCUGCUGAUUGACUGGAAUGUGUCUG
rnacentral:miRNA from 1 species